GCCGCAGGGGUCUGCCAGGACCGUCCCUCCCAGGAAGACACGAACCGACGCCGCCUCCUGCUCCUCCUGACCCGCGGUUCAGGGCCGUCCUGGGUUACAACAGUCCGGGUCUUCUUCGGGUCUCCGCCGGACCCCGCCUCAUCACUCAUUUUUAUUCCGCGUGCGGUUUAGCAGGUUCCUCACGCGGACCCUCCACUAGUGUUUGGCUUUAGCUUUAGCUAAAACUGGAACCGUUAAGGUUUGUGUCGAGGCUCGCGCACGUUCCGCUGCUCGUUUAGAUGUAGAGUGAAGAAAAAAAAAAAAAAAAAACAACCUCCGCACACAUUUGUGUUCAGACGUGACUGGGCACCGAGGACGGGGAGAGCCGAUAGAUGCCCGAAAUAAGCAGCAGCAGCAGCAGCAGCGGCGGUGACGGCGGAGAACAGGACCGAACAGGACCGGCUGUUGGAAGCAUCUGGGAAAUACAAGUGGAGCAGCAGGAAGGUUUUCCGCGGCGCUGAAAGCCAGACAUCGAGCCCAGACGCGAUCCCUCAAGCGGCACAAAUGAUCGCCACGGAAACGCCGUAAUAACUCCAACCUGGACGGAUGUUUGUGCCUUAAAGGUUCUGGUUUAGAGCUGGAUAAAGCAGCCAGAUCAGAGCAGGAUAAAGGUAGUGCUAUCACUAAGUGUUUCCAGGCCGCCAGAUGAACAUGAACGAGGCAGAGCGCUGGCAUAAAGUGGGCACUGCCGGGGUCCUACCCUCAGAUUACAGUUUAACAGAUUAGAGGCGAGGCAGCAGUCACCUCCACAACGCCAAGCCCAUGAAACUUCUGCCUCUGGCCAAUGGGCUAUAACACACACCAAAAAACACACGUAUACACACACCGGCACAGCUGUAGGACACAAUUAAAUUAGUGCGACUGGCAGACGGUGUGCAACCCAAGCUUACACUGUACACAUUAAAUCACCAGGACAAAGGCGCAUAUACACACACACACACACACACACAAUUAUUGGGCUGCUGGACAGAUGCUGCCCCCACCCUCCCACCCAUAGUCCUCUUAAAGCCAGCUGGAGAGAAGAUGGGAUUUGGGGCUGAUUGGUUUUGUCUUUUUUUUUCCCCCCAAUGCAUCCCCUGUGCACCGCUGUUGCCUUUCCCUAGUGCACGACAACAUCAGCCAGUUCGCUUCUAGAGCUCCGAUUUGCUUUUCCUUUCCCGAAACUUCAUCUGCUCAAGCAAGAUUUUCCCCCUUUAACCACUAUGAAGAUUCAGGAAAGUCCUUAAAGUUUGCAAGGGACAAAAGCAGCAAAGAGGGCAGUGCUUUACCGCUAUUCACCGAAUAGCUCUCAGUUCCCGAAGCAGACAGUGUGCUGAAAAGGGGGGGAAAAAAAAGAAAAGAAAGAAGGGACCUUGAUACGAAGUGAAGGAAAGGAGACGAACUGGACGAGGUGAAGUGAACACCAGGAAUAGGAGAUUAAAAGCAAGGGAAAAACAGAAACAAAGAGCGGGGAGAGGUUUUUUUUUCCCCAUUUGGGAUGGCUAUAGACUUGAUGGAACACCCUUGGAGCCAGACCUCCUCCUUAUCCUCCCUCCCCGUGCUCCUCCCUCUCUCCGACUCUCUCAACUAGUCCGCCAGCUUUUCUUCAGCUACGUCGCUUCAGUGCAACGAGAGACAGCAAGAGAGAGAGAGAGAGAGAGAGAGAGUGGGGAGGAAAAAAAGCAGAGCACCAGAGCCGAGCCCGACAUUUAUACAGAUGGCACCGAAAACGAGAAGGACCUGCUGCAUCCAUCAGCAGCGCCUCGCUGAGCGCUGGAUUUCAUGAAAAAUGGACGUUGCAGUUAGUACAGAAAGAGAACAAGAGAGAGGAGAGAGGUGGACUGUGGCAGCCUGAGAAAGGGAAGUUGGAAAGUAGGAAAAAAAAAGAGGAAACAAAGGAUUUAAAAAAAAAAAAAAGAAAAAGAAAAAAAGAGUCUUGGCUUAAGGGGAGAUCACUACGAAAGCAC